rnacentral:rRNA from 1 species
GAAUUCGAUUAACGCGAAGAACCUUACCUGGCCUUGACAUGUAGGUAGUAGAAGGAUGAAAGUCUGACGAGGUAGCAAUACCAGCCUACACAGGUGCUGCAUGGCUGUCGUCAGCUCGUGUCGUGAGAUGUUAGGUUAAGUCCCGCAACGAGCGCAACCCCUAUGUUCUGUUGCCACCCGAACGAGAGUUUGGAGCACUCUGGACAGACUGCCUCGCUCAAACGAGGAGGAAGGUGGGGAUGACGUCAAGUCAGUAUGGCCCUUACGGCCAGGGCUGCACGCGUACUACAAUGCCCGGCACAGAGGGAAGCGAAACCGUCAGGUGGAGCAAAUCUCAAAAAACCGGGCCCAGUUCAGAUUGUCGGCUGCAACUCGCCGACAUGAAGCUGGAAUCGCUAGUAAUGGCGCACCAGCUACGGCGCCGUGAAUACGUUCCCGGGCCUUGUCACACCGAAUCACUA